UUACGGGAGGCAGCAGUGAGGAAUAUUGGUCAAUGGGCGCAAGCCUGAACCAGCCAUCCCGCGUGCAGGAAGAAGGCGCUAUGCGUUGUAAACUGCUUUUGCAGGGGAAGAAUGUUCUGUAUGUAUACGGGAUUGACGGUACCUUGUGAAUAAGCAUCGGCUAACUCCGUGCCAGCAGCCGCGGUAAUACGGAGGAUGCGAGCGUUAUCCGGAUUUAUUGGGUUUAAAGGGUGCGUAGGCGGAUUGAUAAGUCAGUGGUGAAAUACUGCAGCUUAACUGUAGAAUUGCCGUUGAUACUGUCAGUCUUGAGUAUGGUUAAGGUAGGCGGAAUGUGUAAUGUAGCGGUGAAAUGCUUAGAUAUUACACAGAACACCGAUUGCGAAGGCAGCUUACUGAGCCAAAACUGACGCUGAGGCACGAAAGCGUGGGGAGCGAACAGGAUUAGAUACCCCGGUAGA
rnacentral:rRNA from 1 species